ACAGCAGCCGCCACGGGAACACGGAGGGUGCAAGCGUUAAUCGGAAUUACUGGGCGUAAAGCGCACGCAGGCGGUCUGACAAGUCAGAUGUGAAAUCCCCGGGCUUAACCUGGGAACUGCAUUUGAAACUGUCAGGCUGGAGUCUUGUAGAGGGGGGUGGAAUUCCAGGUGUAGCGGUGAAAUGCGUAGAGAUCUGGAGGAAUACCGGUGGCGAAGGCGGCCCCCUGGACAAAGACUGACGCUCAGGUGCGAAAGCGUGGGGAGCAAACAGGAUUAGAUACCCGGGUAGUCCCUGUCUCUUAUAC
rnacentral:rRNA from 1 species